ACGGACGUUCAGAGAAACUGCAAACCCUGACACCCUUAUGCACGAACGUUCAGAGAAACUGCAAACCCUGACAACUUUAUGCACGAACGUUCAGAGAAACUGCAAACCCUGACACCCUUAGGAGUGACAGAGAUGACUUCCAAAAGCAAGCAUUUUCUGGAUUGCUCUUCAGGGGUCUCCAGAACCAACUUGGUCAGGAAUCAAGGUGUCUUCAAGAUCUGCGAAUUUGAAGCCAUCAGCCACAAUGGAGCUUACCUCCACCUUUUCAAGCCUUCAUAGAACAAAAACAAGAUUCCCAACAAUUUCUUCCCAUCUGAUGACCUUUUGUUCUACUUCUCUGAGAAAAAUGAAGCAAUCAGAGAGGACUACCACAAACUUCUAAGACUAUAUAUAUUCUCUGGUGAUCUAUCUGCAUGCAGGUAUAUACACUCUACCUUUCUGCCUGUUGAUGUAGACAACUAUCCAUACUCCUCUCUAAAGCCAACCCCUCCACUUGUGAUGAGGUCCAAUCUCCACCCCUUGCUCACUCAAGGGCAAUGUUUUAGCAAUUUUCCUCUCUCUCCUCCACAUCAUCAAAUUAUAACUAUGAAAAUUUGCUGCUUUCUCCCUCUCCUUUGCAGAAAUAUUAAAAGAGGCAUCUGUAUUUGCCAUGUUCCCUUAUUUUCCCCAUUCUCUCUUAAACCCACUCCAGUGCAUCUUCCAUCCAACCACGUGCUGUUCUCAAGGGCACUAAUGAUCUCCCGGUUUAUAAAGCCAAUGUUUCUCUCUUGUCUUCAUUGUACUUGACCUAUUCUAUCAGCAGCAUUUGACACCACUGAUUACUCAUUCUGCUCUGGUGUACUUUCUUCAAUUGCUUCCAAGACACCAUAAAUUCUUCUGCCUUGCUGGCUGCCUUUGCUGGUUCCUCCUCUUCUCCCUGACCUCUUAAUGUUGGAGAACCACAGGGCUUAGUCCUUGGUCCUCUUCUCUCUUUUCUUUACACUGUGGUCCUCAGUGAGGGAGAUAGGUAGAUCCACUGUCCCGAUCUUAACCCAAAGAAAGACUUGCUGUCCAGCUACGGGGGCUGUGGUCAGAAGGCAGCCUCGAGCCUUCAGUUCCUGCAGGACCUGUCUCAGGGCAGAGGGCGGCAUCCCAGGGUAGGCCAUAUCUGGUGACUGAAUGAGGCAGGGAUAAAGGACUGGUCAUAUCAGCCUCUGCAGGACAAGGAUGAUGGGCAGUAUUAAUUCCAGAGCUUCCAGCCAGGUUGUUCUACACCACUGUUUGACUUCUCCACGCGGUCCUGCUUGCUUCCUCUUUCUUUUGCAGUUCAUCUAAAUGCCGUCUUCUUGCCUGUUUCUGGAGAAAUCAACCUACAACUCUUGGAGAUCCCCUCCGGUCUCAUGACUGCGAAUACUUUCCACAUGCUAACAACUCCCAAUGCAUGUCUCUAGCCAGUGCUUUUUCCCCUAGACUCCACAAUCGAAUACCGCACUGUGCACGUACACCCUCUGGGUAUCUUCCAGGUGCCUUUCCCAGCUGAGCUAAGGGCAAUUGAACCCUCCCAACUAUUCAGACCAAAAUACUUGGUGCCAUACUUGCCUUCCCUUUCCUUUCACAUCCCACAUCGAAUCAGUCGGAAAAUUCUGUUGCAUCCACUCUCCAAAUAUGUGCCAAUCCAAAUCUCUUCUCACCCCUUCCUGCUGCUGCCACUAUAAUCCGAGCCACCAUUCUCUACUAGAUUACGACAAAACCUCUGAACAAGUCUCCCUGUUUCCACUCUUGUCCUUCUACAAUCCAUCCUCAUCCAGGACCAUGGGGAUCCUUUUAAAGUAUAAAUUAGAUCACAGCAUUCCUCCGCUCAAGGGGUAAAAGCCAAACUCCCUAGAGGGACCCACAAAGCAUAUCACCCCUCUGGCCUCGUUAUUACUUCUCUGUCCUCAUCUCCUGCUGCUUCUCCCCUUGUUCAUGCCACUGAAGCCACACUUGGCCUCCUCGAUGUUCCCUGAACUUUCCAGACACACUCCCUCUUUCUGGAACAUUCCAGGUAGGCUGCUAAUUUCUUUAUAUUCUUUUAGUCUUCAUUCAAAUGGUACCAUCUCAUCACUAUACCCUAAUCUACCCCGCUUACCUCCCAGAACUGCCCACCCACCCAAAGCAGG
ensembl:lncRNA novel transcript, antisense to TIAM1